rnacentral:rRNA from 1 species
GACGAACGCUGGCGGCGUGCCUAAUACAUGCAAGUCGAGCGGACCGGAUUGGGGCUUGCUUUGAUUCGGUCAGCGGCGGACGGGUGAGUAACACGUGGGCAACCUGCCCGCAAGACCGGGAUAACUCCGGGAAACCGGAGCUAAUACCGGAUAACACCGAAGACCGCAUGGUCUUCGGUUGAAAGGCGGCCUUUGGGCUGUCACUUGCGGAUGGGCCCGCGGCGCAUUAGCUAGUUGGUGAGGUAACGGCUCACCAAGGCGACGAUGCGUAGCCGGCCUGAGAGGGUGACCGGCCACGCUGGGACUGAGACACGGCCCAGACUCCUACGGGAGGCAGCAGUAGGGAAUCUUCCGCAAUGGGCGAAAGCCUGACGGAGCGACGCCGCGUGAGCGAAGAAGGCCGUCGGGUCGUAAAGCUCUGUUGUGAGGGACGAAGGAGCGUCGUUCGAAGAGGGCGGCGCGGUGACGGUACCUCACGAGAAAGCCCCGGCUAACUACGUG